CCGUAGCCCAAGAGAUCGGGAUAACACCUGGAAACAGAUGCUAAUACCGGAUAACAACAGAUGAUGCCUAUCAACUGUUUAAAAGAUGGUUCUGCUAUCACUCUUGGAUGGACCUGCGGUGCAUUAGCUAGUUGGUAGGGUAACGGCCUACCAAGGNGAUGAUGCAUAGCCGAGUUGAGAGACUGAUCGGCCACAUUGGGACUGAGACACGGCCCAAACUCCUACGGGAGGCAGCAGGC
rnacentral:rRNA from 1 species